rnacentral:rRNA from 1 species
GAUGAACGCUGGCGGCGUGCCUAAUACAUGCAAGUCGAGCGAACAGACGAGGACCUUGCUCCUCUGACGUUUGCGGCGGACGGGUGAGUAACACGUGGAUAACCUACCUAUAAGACUGGGAUCACUUCGGGAAACCGGAGCUAAUACCGGAUAAUAUAUUGAACCGCAUGGUUCAAUAGUGAAAGACGGUUUUGCUGUCACUUAUAGAUGGAUCCGCGCCGCAUUAGCUAGUUGGUAAGGUAACGGCUUACCAAGGCAACGAUGCGUAGCCGACCUGAGAGGGUGAUCGGCCACACUGGAACUGAGACACGGUCCAGACUCCUACGGGAGGCAGCAGUAGGGAAUCUUCGGCAAUGGGCGAAAGCUUGACGGAGCAACGCCGCGUGAGUGAUGAAGGUCUUCGGAUCGUAAAACUCUGUUAUUAGGGAAGAACAAAGGUGUAAGUAACUAUGCACGUCUUGACGGUACCUAAUCAGAAAGCCACGGCUAACUACGUG